rnacentral:lncRNA from 1 species
UUACUUCUUCACAAGCUUUUUGCUCUUCUUUUCCUUGUAGACUUUCUCUUGAAAGAAGCCUGCUCCAGAGUAAAAAUCAUUUUCCUUAAAUUUUUCAAAGUGCCCUCAGCUGUCACCAAUAUAUUCAACAACUCGGACAAUGUGUUAUCAAUCUUAUUCAUAUGGUAGUUCAUAAUAAACUACCCAUAUGAUUCAGAAAGGGACUGCAUGAUCAGAUCCACCUGUAGUUCUUUGUCCAUAUUCAUUUUGAGCUUCUAAAGCUCUUCA